UAAAUUUAAUUUUUCAUAUCAAAUAAAGAAUUUUUUAUACUUUUUACUGUUACGCCCCCUCUUCUUUCUCCUCCUCCUCCCCAUCCUCCAGCUCUCCAUACAAACGAGCGCGGGUCAGGCUGCGGCCCAGGCCGCGUCAGUCGCGGCAGCCACGGCAGCAAUGCAGCAGGAGCAGAACAGCAAAGUCCCGUGCCGUAUCGCAAGUCGAAGUUUAAUAACACACCGUUGCAGCCGGCACUGGGAGGAAACUCUAAGACAGUGAUGAUGGUCAACGUACGUCAACGAGUAUGCACACUGGCAAGGAAGGCUUAAUAC